rnacentral:lncRNA from 1 species
AUGGAAUCUUACUCUGUCACCCAGGCUGGAGUGCAGUGGUGUGAUCUUGGCUAACUGCAAACUCCCACUCCUGGGCUCAAGCACUUUUCCCUGCCUCAGCCUCCUGAGUAGCUGGAAUUACAGGACACAUGAACCAUUAACAAGAAAAAUAUUUAAAUAAGAAACUCACCAAGCCAGGAGAAUAAUGAAUACCUGGAUGUGCCCCCUAGGAAUCUGGAUCUCUUCUCUUUUCCCCACCCUGCCCUCAACUCCCCUUACAUACAUACAGCCUGGAUCACAAGACCCAAGAAAACCAUUCCACCAGCUGCUGAGAGAAGAGCCACAAAAGGACCCAGAACUUCUCCAUGGCUACCUUAGAGCACCCUAAAAUGUGCUAACAGCCAUUGUUAGCAUUCAGGAGCUGUUUAUUCCCAUUUUCACACUACACUAAAGAAUUUUAAACAAUCACAAGAUAGACUGGCUGGAAGUUGGUGCUUGGAACAUCCCACGUCACCUAAAAGCACAGUGCUGCAAUCUCAGAAACCCCAGGCUCAGCCAGCAGAGAGAGGAGAAGCAGCUGGACAUUGGAGACUAUGAUUGGACAUUAGAGAGAAGGAGCUUGACUUCACAGAGAAAGCAUGAUGGAAUAAUUUCAGAGAAAAGUCUGGCCAGGGAUGACCAGACUUCAGGGGAAGAUAAUCUUGCUCAAUAUCCUUUUCUGCUCCCCUUCCUGCUGAGAGUCACUUUGAUUGGCAAUAAAAUAUCUCACAUUUACCAUC